GGCGAUGCUAUGAGAGCAGCUCAGCACACUUCGGUAUGCAGUGAGUUCCUCGGUCAGGGUUCCCCUCGGAGUUCCUCAGCAGGCAGUAAUGACUGCUAUCAAUUGCUUUGAAAGAACUCCUGUUCUGGACUCAGUAUGCAGAAGCAAACCCCAACAGCACACAGAGGCAACAUUCCUAUAUGACACCCCCAUCAUCAAGCCCAGAUGCUCUGGUGGAGUGCAGAUGUCCCACAGAGGUCCAAUUUAAUGCGCUGAAGUGACAGAGAAUCUGCUGCAUCCUCAGCAAUGAUAACCAGCAGAUACACGAGCUGCCUGGCAGAGAAGCAGACAGAACUCUCCUGGGACUGACUGCAUUGUCAGUGUUCCUUGAUGGGUCAUCGAGGUUUGGGUUCUGGUUAACAUCCCGCCCUCUUCAAGCAUCUCCUCUGGCUGCAGGUAAGGGUGAUGUGGCCCCACUGACUGCUGUUUGCUAAAUGGUGGGGAAAAGGGGUGUGGGGAGCUGCACCCAGAGUCAGAAAUCAUAGGAUAGAGUCACAAAGUCAUGGAGUUGUUUGAGUUGCAAGGGACCUUUAAAGGUCAUGUAGUCCACCCACCCUGCAAUGAACAGAGACAUCUACAGCUGGAUCAGUGUGCUUGGAGUGUGGUCCAGCCAAAUGAGACAGGAAAAAGAGGGGUUUUAUUGUAAUAAUUAUUAUUUUAUUUCUUAUUUCUAAGAUUGUUUUCCUUCCUUCUCCCAUUCCCUCCCUCAGGGAUAAAUUCACAGCAAUCAGCACAAUGGCUUUGAUUUUCUGGGAUUCUAUAACACAAAAUCUGGCUCCUGCAUAAGUAAAACUCGCUGGUGGUAGUUUCUGUACACUUCUCCAAGGAGCCUCUGAGCAAGAGGCAUGUCUUAGUGUAAUGAGUUUAAACACAAACAGUUAUUAUUUCUCAGUAAGUACAUGCUAUUAAGUGCUAUCAAACUUCUAUAGAAAAUAUGAAAACACUGGAUGAAAAACAUUAUAAAGGGCUGAACUCUCACCUGGGAAGUAGCACAUAAUGUAAAUCAAUAGAGUUGCAUUUCUUUACUGCUUUAUUGACUAACAAACACACAGCUUGUAAGAGCCCUUCAGGAUCCUUCCCCCUUCCCAACCCUAUUUUAUUUCCAAAUAGUGCUAAAGGAAUGUUUUUCCUCUCAAGGUAAUUGCAUAACUUCCUUCUGUUUCACACUCAAAAAGCACCCAUGUGAGUCAAUGAAGCACAGAGCAUGUUUAGAUUAUCUCUUACCCUUCUCUAAUGAUGUUCAGCAGAUCAAUCAGUGCGAGAGUCAUUUCUUUUUUUUUUUUUCCCCUUAUAAAGGAUUUUGAUCUUUCUCUUAGGGGAAUGACCUUGACUUGGUAGAACAGCUAAACUGGGAAAGCUGUUUUGCUAUUCAAACUGAAUUUAGGAAAGCUAAAUAAAUAGUAGGCAUAAAAACA
rnacentral:lncRNA from 1 species